rnacentral:rRNA from 1 species
AUUGAACGCUGGCGGCAGGCCUAACACAUGCAAGUCGAGCGGUAACAGGAAUUAGCUUGCUAAUUUGCUGACGAGCGGCGGACGGGUGAGUAAUGCCUGGGAAUAUGCCUUGAUGUGGGGGAUAACUAUUGGAAACGAUAGCUAAUACCGCAUAAUGCCUACGGGCCAAAGAGGGGGAUCUUCGGACCUCUCGCGUCAAGAUUAGCCCAGGUGGGAUUAGCUAGUUGGUGGGGUAAUGGCUCACCAAGGCGACGAUCCCUAGCUGGUUUGAGAGGAUGAUCAGCCACACUGGAACUGAGACACGGUCCAG